rnacentral:tRNA from 1 species
ACCUGGCUGGCUCAGUCGGUUGAGCGUCCGACUUUGGCUCAGGUCAUGAUCUCACAGUUCGUGAGUUCGAGCCCCACGUCGGGCU